rnacentral:lncRNA from 1 species
UUAGACAUAAAAAGAAAUUCAAUGAGUUUGGAGAGCACCACCCACCUCGUAGGCUUGCUAAGGUGCUAGGGUUCGAGUUUUACGAUUUUUGGCCGCCUAUUUCGCGUGCUGCGGCAAUCUGUACCAAAACCGACCUUUUUAUCAAUUUCUUCGCGUACACUCGUCGGAUCACUGAACCGAGCGCACCAACGCAUCGGAAAUACCCCCAAUUACGUUUGUAUAG